AUUGAACGCUGGCGGCAGGCCUAACACAUGCAAGUCGAGCGGAUGAAGGGAGCUUGCUCCUGGAUUCAGCGGCGGACGGGUGGGUAAUGCCUAGGAAUCUGCCUGGUAGUGGGGGAUAACGUCCGGAAACGGGCGCUAAUACCGCAUACGUCCUGAGGGAGAAAGUGGGGGAUCUUCGGACCUCACGCUAUCAGAUGAGCCUAGGUCGGACUAGCUAGUUGGUGGGAUAAAGGCCUACCAAGGCGACGAUCCGUAACUGGUCUGAGAGGAUGAUCAGUCACACUGGAACUGAGACACGGUCCAGACUCCUACGGGAGGCAGCAGUGGGGAAUAUUGGACAAUGGGCGAAAGCCUGAUCCAGCCAUGCCGCGUGUGUGAAGAAGGUCUUCGGAUUGUAAAGCACUUUAAGUUGGGAGGAAGGGCAGUAAGUUAAUACCUUGCUGUUUUGACGUUACCAACAGAAUAAGCACCGGCUAACUUCGUG
rnacentral:rRNA from 1 species